rnacentral:rRNA from 1 species
GACAGAGGGUGCAAACGUUGUUUGGAAUUACUGGGCGUAAAGCGCGUGUAGGCUGCUCCGCAAGUCGGAUGUGAAAGCCCUGGGCUCAACCUAGGAAGUGCAUUCGAUACUGCAGAGCUUGAGUCCUGGAGAGGAAGGCGGAAUUCUCGGUGUAGAGGUGAAAUUCGUAGAUAUCGAGAGGAACACCGGUGGCGAAGGCGGCCUUCUGGACAGUGACUGACGCUGAGACGCGAAAGCGUGGGGAGCAAACAGG